AUGACAACAACAUUUGUUCAUCACACAAAGAUAAAGCUGGCCACUGACUGCGCUUCCCCCUCCCCUCGCCCAACCACAAGCAGAACAGGCAGGAUGUCGAACAAAGAAACAGCAGAAGCAGCAACGAGCAUUACGUUCAGAUUAGAGGACAUUCAGGGAUCCAUGUGGAAAGUUCCAAAAACCUUAAGAAAACAAACCCAAGCAACAAAAUAGGUGAUAAAAAACAGCCUAAUACAGAAAAUGAAAUUUUAAGUUUUCUCAUUUCUCUGAUAUUUCUAUAACUCUUUCACCUCUUUUCCUCUAUUAUUUCUUCACAGGUUAAACAACUGGCAUAUGAGUUGCAUCUAGACACCUCCUAAUAACAUGAAGAUAAACUUCUCAUCCAGAUUAUUCAAUUUAUAUAGGGUGAGAUUUAGAUUCACAAUUCUAGAUGAGAACAUUUUUGCUCCUGAUGGAUGCACAAGAAAUACCUGCCACUUGAGUGUCAGACUGUGUUCAAGCCUGCACCAUUCUGUGGAAGCAAAUGAAGAUGAAGGAAAUUUUUCUUCUCCCCAGAGGUCUGAGCCACAGUAACAGUAAACCUGUUGACUUCCAUGAGUUCUUGAUGAAGCUCCCUAUGGUGGAGGUGCUUUUGCACUGCAGCCAGUGAGAAUGAGGAUCUACUGCUAACUCUCCUCAUGUAUCACUGUGACUUGUCUCUUAUCCACACUUGCAGUGAAUCCAAGAGCAGUUUCAUAUAGUGCUUACCACAGACAGAAGACUAAUAUGGGUUUUAACACUUACCUAAACUGUUUAUACGGCCAUCUUGAAUAAAGCAAAUUUGUUUGUCA
rnacentral:lncRNA from 1 species